rnacentral:rRNA from 1 species
UACAUGGGGUGCAAACGUUGCUCGGAAUCAUUGGGCGUAAAGCGCGCGUAGGCGGCCCUGUAAGUCCGUUGUGAAAGUCAAAGGCUCAACCUUUGAAAGCCGAUGGAUACUGCAGGGCUAGAGUCCGGAAGAGGCGAGUGGAAUUCCUGGUGUAGCGGUGGAAUGCGCAGAUAUCAGGAGGAACACCAAUAGCGAAGGCAGCUCGCUGGGACGGUACUGACGCUAAGGCGCGAAAGCGUGGGGAGCGAACGGG